rnacentral:rRNA from 1 species
UACGUAGGGGGCAAGCGUUGUCCGGAUUUAUUGGGCGUAAAGAGCGUGUAGGCGGCCAAAUAGGUCGGUUGUGAAAACUGGAGGCUUAACCUCCAGACGUCGACCGAAACCAUCUGGCUAGAGUCCGGAAGAGGAGAGUGGAAUUCCUGGUGUAGCGGUGAAAUGCGCAGAUAUCAGGAAGAACACCCGUGGCGAAAGCGGCUCACUGGACCGUCACUGACGCUGAGGUGCGAAAGCUAGGGUAGCAAACGGG